rnacentral:rRNA from 1 species
UACAGAGGGGGCAAGCGUUAUUCGGAAUUAUUGGGCGUAAAGGGCGCGUAGGCGGCCAUUCAAGUGACGGGUGAAAGCCCUCGGCUUAACCGAGGAACUGCCUGUCAGACUGGAUGGCUUGAGACCGGGAGAGGUGAGUGGAAUUCCCAGUGUAGCGGUGAAAUGCGUAGAUAUUGGGGAGGAACACCAGUGGCGAAGGCGGCUCACUGGACCGGAACUGACGCUGAGGCGCGAAAGCGUGGGGAGCAAACAGG